UAUGAUCCAGAGUACCACGGGACACGUGAAACCCUGUGGGAAGCAGGAGGGACCACCCUCCAAGGCUAAAUACUACCUAGUGACCGAUAGCGUAUAGUACCGUGAGGGAAAGGUGAAAAGAACCCCGGGAGGGGAGUGAAAUAGAACCUGAAACCCUGCACUUACAAGCUGUGGAAGCACAUUUCUUGUGUGACCGCGUACUUUUUGUAGAACGGGCCAACGAGUUACGUUAAGUAGCAAGGUUAAGCACUUAAGGUGCGGAGCCGUAGCGAAAGCGAGUUUUAACUGAGCGUUCAGUUACUUGACGUAGACCCGAAACCGGGCGACCUACCCAUGAGCAGGAUGAAGCGAAAGUAAAAUUUCGUGGAGGUCCGAACCCACGAGCGUUGAAAAGCUCGGGGAUGACUUGUGGGUAGCGGUGAAAUUCCAAUCGAGCCCGGAGAUAGCUGGUUCUCCCCGAAAUAGCUUUAGGGCUAGCCUCAAGGUGAGAGAUACGGAGGUAGAGCACUGAAUGUCCUAGGGGGUAUUGCACCUACCGAAGACUAUCAAACUCCGAAUGCCGUCAUCUUAUACUUGGGAGUCAGACUGUGGGUGAUAAGAUUCAUAGUCGAAAGGGCAACAGCCCAGAUCGUCAGCUAAGGUCCCUAAAUGUAAGUUAAGUGGUAAAGGAUGUGGGAUUGCACAGACAACCAGGAUGUUGGCUUAGAAGCAGCCACUCAUUCAAAGAGUGCGUAAUAGCUCACUGGUCGAGUGAUCCUGCGCCGAAGAUUUCCGGGGCUAAAACUUACUACCGA
rnacentral:rRNA from 1 species